AAAUAGAGCUAAUACAUGCCUAGAAACCUGACCGCAAGGAAGGGUUGUAUUUAUUAGAUAAAAAACCGACAUUACUUCGGUGAAUCAUAAUAACUUUGCGAAUCGCAUGAGCUUGACUCGGCGAUGCUUCAUUCAAAUUUCUGCCCUAUCAACUUUCGAUGGUAGUAUAGAGGACUACCAUGGUGAUAACGGGUAACGGGGAAUUAGGGUUCGAUUCCGGAGAGGGAGCCUGAGAAAUGGCUACCACUUCUAAGGAAGGCAGCAGGCGCGCAAAUUACCCAAUCCUAACACAGGGAGGUAGUGACAAGAAAUAACGAAGCUGGGCCCAUCGGGUCUAGCUAUUGGAAUGAGUACAAUUUAAACCCCUUAACGAGUAACAAUUGGAGGGCAAGUCUGGUGCCAGCAGCCGCGGUAAUUCCAGCUCCAAUAGCGUAUAUUAAAAGUUGUUGCAGUUAAAAAGACUCGUAGUUGGAUUUUGGUGGCUUUGAUAGGUGUCUGCCGGAUAGGUAUGUGCAUUUAUCGGG
rnacentral:rRNA from 1 species